GACGAACGCUGGCGGCGUGCUUAACACAUGCAAGUCGAGCGGUAAGGCCCUUUCGGGGGUACACGAGCGGCGAACGGGUGAGUAACACGUGGGUGACCUGCCCUCAGCUCUGGGAUAAGCCUGGGAAACCGGGUCUAAUACCGGAUAUGACUCCAUGACGCAUGUUGUGGGGUGGAAAGCCUUGUGCGGCUGAGGAUGGGCCCGCGGCCUAUCAGCUUGUUGGUGGGGUGAUGGCCUACCAAGGCGACGACGGGUAGCCGGCCUGAGAGGGCGACCGGCCACACUGGGACUGAGACACGGCCCAGACUCCUACGGGAGGCAGCAGUGGGGAAUAUUGGACAAUGGGCGCAAGCCUGAUCCAGCAAUGCCGCGUGUGUGAAGAAGGCCUGCGGGUUGUAAAGCACGUUCAGUCGGGAGGAAAGGGGUUGGUGAAUAGCCGGCUCACUUGACGUAACCGACAGAAGAAGCACCGGCUAACUCCGUGCCAGCCGCCGACCGU
rnacentral:rRNA from 1 species